CCUACGGGAGGCAGCAGUGGGGAAUAUUGCACAAUGGGGGAAACCCUGAUGCAGCGACGCCGCGUGAGUGAAGAAGUAUUUCGGAAUGUAAAGCUCUAUCAGCAGGGAAGAAGAAAGACGGUACCUGACUAAGAAGCCCCGGCUAACUACGUGCCAGCAGCCGCGGUAAUACGUAGGGGGCAAGCGUUAUCCGGAUUUACUGGGUGUAAAGGGAGCGUAGGCGGCUGUGCAAGUCUGAAGUGAAAGCCCAGGGCUCAACCCUGGGACUGCUUUUGAAACUGUGGAGCUAGAGUGCUGGAGAGGUAAGUGGAAUUCCUAGUGUAGCGGUGAAAUGCGUAGAUAUUAGGAGGAACACCAGUGGCGAAGGCGGCUUACUGGACAGUAACUGACGUUGAGGCUCGAAAGCGUGGGUAGCAAACAGGAUUAGAUACCCGAGUAGUC
rnacentral:rRNA from 1 species